rnacentral:rRNA from 1 species
UACGUAGGGUGCAAGCGUUGUCCGGAAUUAUUGGGCGUAAAGGGCUCGUAGGCGGUCUGUCACGUCGGGAGUGAAAAAUCAGGGCUUAACCCUGAGCCUGCUUCCGAUACGGGCAGACUAGAGGUAUGCAGGGGAGAACGGAAUUCCUGGUGUAGCGGUGAAAUGCGCAGAUAUCAGGAGGAACACCGGUGGCGAAGGCGGUUCUCUGGGCAUUACCUGACGCUGAGGAGCGAAAGUGUGGGGAGCGAACAGG